UGGAACCGGCAUGGCAGAAGCGGUGCCGCUCACGUUUUUCUUGCUGCUUUUGCAGAUGCGACUGCACCUUCUACCUAUGCUGUCAUGCUUCCCAAUCGGCAUGCUUAACAGGAAAUGGGGCAGGCUGCGCGGCCGCCGCUGCAGAACGCUGGAUGCCAAAGGGAAGUGCGUGUACGCCUGUGUCUUGAAGAUAGACGGUGGCCUGCCUAACGACCCGAGCUGGGCCCCAAAGGGAAGCAGGAGAGACGUGCCUUCCGAAAGAAUCAAUGUCUUU